UACGAAGGGGGCUAGCGUUGUUCGGAAUUACUGGGCGUAAAGGGCGCGCAGGCGGCCCUUCAAGUCAGCUGUGAAAGCCCCGGGCUCAACCUGGGAAUUGCGGUUGAAACUGGCGAACUAGAAUCUGGCAGAGGGGGGUGGAAUUCCACGUGUAGCAGUGAAAUGCGUAGAGAUGUGGAGGAACACCGAUGGCGAAGGCAGCCCCCUGGGCUGAGAUUGACGCUCAGGCACGAAAGCGUGGGGAGCAAACAGG
rnacentral:rRNA from 1 species